rnacentral:rRNA from 1 species
GAUGAACGCUAGCGGCAGGCUUAACACAUGCAAGUCGAGGGGCAGCACGGGUAGCAAUACUUGGUGGCGACCGGCGCACGGGUGAGUAACGCGUAUGCAACCUUCCUUUAACUGGGACAUAGCCCGGCGAAAGUCGGAUUAAUUUCCCAUAACAUUACAAGAUGGCAUCUGAUUGUAAUUAAAGCUCCGGCGGUUAAAGAUGGGCAUGCGUGUCAUUAGCUAGUUGGUAAGGUAACGGCUUACCAAGGCUACGAUGACUAGGGGUUCUGAGAGGAUGAUCCCCCACACUGGUACUGAGACACGGACCAGACUCCUACGGGUGGCAG